rnacentral:rRNA from 1 species
UACGAAGGGGACUAGCGUUGUUCGGAAUCACUGGGCGUAAAGCGCACGUAGGCGGAUUUGUAAGUCAGGGGUGAAAUCCCGGGGCUCAACCUCGGAACUGCCUUUGAUACUGCGAGUCUUGAGUCCGAUAGAGGUGGGUGGAAUUCCUAGCGUAGAGGUGAAAUUCGUAGAUAUUAGGAAGAACACCAGUGGCGAAGGCGGCCCACUGGAUCGGUACUGACGCUGAGGUGCGAAAGCGUGGGGAGCAAACAGG